CGGGGCGUAGUACAGUGGUAGUAUACGCGCUUUGGGAGCGCGAGAUCCGAGUCCGAUUCUCGGCGCCCCGACAA
rnacentral:tRNA from 3 species